rnacentral:rRNA from 1 species
CGGUGUGCCUAAUACAUGCAAGUCGAACGCGUUGGCCCAAUUGAUUGAYGGUGCUUGCACCUGAUUGAUUUUGGUCGCCAACGAGUGGCGGACGGGUGAGUAACACGUAGGUAACCUGCCCAGAAGCGGGGGACAACAUUUGGAAACAGAUGCUAAUACCGCAUAACARCGUUGUUCGCAUGAACAACGCUUAAAAGAUGGCUUCUCGCUAUCACUUCUGGAUGGACCUGCGGUGCAUUAGCUUGUUGGUGGGGUAACGGCCUACCAAGGCGAUGAUGCAUAGCCGAGUUGAGAGACUGAUCGGCCACAAUGGGACUGAGACACGGCCCAUACUCCUACGGGAGGCAGCAGUAGGGAAUCUUCCACAAUGGGCGCAAGCCUGAUGGAGCAACACCGCGUGAGUGAAGAAGGGUUUCGGCUCGUAAAGCUCUGUUGUUAAAGAAGAACACGUAUGAGAGUAACUGUUCAUACGUUGACGGUAUUUAACCAGAAAGUCACGGCUAACUACGUGCCAGCAGCCGCGGUAAUACGUAGGUGGCAAGCGUUAUCCGGAUUUAUUGGGCGUAAAGAGAGUGCAGGCGGUUUUCUAAGUCUGAUGUGAAAGCCUUCGGCUUAACCGGAGAAGUGCAUCGGAAACUGGAUAACUUGAGUGCAGAAGAGGGUAGUGGAACUCCAUGUGUAGCGGUGGAAUGCGUAGAUAUAUGGAAGAACACCAGUGGCGAAGGCGGCUACCUGGUCUGCAACUGACGCUGAGACUCGAAAGCAUGGGUAGCGAACAGGAUUAGAUACCCUGGUAGUCCAUGCCGUAAACGAUGAGUGCUAGGUGUUGGAGGGUUUCCGCCCUUCAGUGCCGGAGCUAACGCAUUAAGCACUCCGCCUGGGGAGUACGACCGCAAGGUUGAAACUCAAAGGAAUUGACGGGGGCCCGCACAAGCGGUGGAGCAUGUGGUUUAAUUCGAAGCUACGCGAAGAACCUUACCAGGUCUUGACAUCUUGCGCCAACCCUAGAGAUAGGGCGUUUCCUUCGGGAACGCAAUGACAGGUGGUGCAUGGUCGUCGUCAGCUCGUGUCGUGAGAUGUUGGGUUAAGUCCCGCAACGAGCGCAACCCUUGUUACUAGUUGCCAGCAUUAAGUUGGGCACUCUAGUGAGACUGCCGGUGACAAACCGGAGGAAGGUGGGGACGACGUCAGAUCAUCAUGCCCCUUAUGACCUGGGCUACACACGUGCUACAAUGGACGGUACAACGAGUCGCGAACUCGCGAGGGCAAGCAAAUCUCUUAAAACCGUUCUCAGUUCGGACUGCAGGCUGCAACUCGCCUGCACGAAGUCGGAAUCGCUAGUAAUCGCGGAUCAGCAUGCCGCGGUGAAUACGUUCCCGGGCCUUGUACACACCGCCCGUCACACCAUGAGAGUUUGUAACACCCAAAGUCGGUGGGGUAACCUUUUAGGAGCCAGCCGCCUAAGGUGGGACAGAUGAUUAGG